GAGCCUAGGUCGGAUUAGCUAGUUGGUGAGGUAAUGGCUCACCAAGGCGACGGUCCGUAACUGGUCUGAGAGGAUGAUCAGUCACACUGGAGCUGAGACACGGUCCAGACUCGUACGGGAGGCAGCAGUGGGGAAUAUUGGACAAUGGGCGAAAGCCUGAUCCAAAGAGGCCGGGUGUGUGAAGAAGGUCUUCGGAUGUAAAUCAAAGGAAGUUGGGAGGAAGGGCAGUUACCUAAUACGUGAUGUUUGACGUAC
rnacentral:rRNA from 1 species